GUCAGAGGCGAUUGUCAGGUUUAUGCACAAGUUUCCAAUGGAUCACUGAAGGUAAGCAACGUUGUGCGAGGUUAAUAUCCAUAUGGGUGACCAUCUGAGCAAUCGCGUGCUGCCGGCU
rnacentral:rRNA from 1 species